CCCUUAGAUGUUCUGGGCCGCACGCGGUCUACACUGACCGGUGCAACGAGCGUCCUCUGCGCCGGAAGGCGUGGACACUCUGUGAACACCGGUCGUGAUGGGGAUAGAUUCUUGCAAUUCUUGAUCUUGAACGAGGAAUCCCUUGUAAGCGCAAGUCAUCAGCUUGCACUGAAUACUGUCAAUGCUCUUUGUACACACCGCCCGUCGCACCUACCGAUUGGAUGGUCCGGUGAAGCCUCAGGACGUCGGCGACAGCAUGACUGACGCACGGCUGGAAUCUGGCUGAACCUUACCAUCUAGAGGAAGGUGAAGUCGUANCA
rnacentral:rRNA from 1 species